UCCAUAUGCCAUGGGUGUGGCAUGUGCCACCCUAAAAAGACAAAAAAUACAAUAAAAUUAAAUUAAAAUCUUUUUAAAAAUAUGUCCUUACUGAUUAAGUGUUAAUUGGGACCCCAUCAUGAGAACCCAGUGCCUCCCUGUCACAGAGGCAUGUACCACAGAGAAAGCACAGGCUGGAGGACUGAAUGGGCAGAGAGUCACUUGGAUGAAGGAAGUGGUCCACAGAGGGUCAGAAAUGUCCCUCCAGCAAGUCGCAGUUCGGAUGAUAAAGACAAUUAAAACAAGUGACCUCCUACAUAAAAUGAACUGAUUUUUCUCUCUCUUUCCAGCAGGAUCAGAAUUGUUUGGCAUGGAGCCAGGGGUGGACAGCUGGCUAUAUAUUGACUACAAGGUCCAUCAACUCUCAAAAGCAGAAACUGAAGCAGGAAACACCCAAGUCCUCAGGAGAAGGAUGGGUGGGACAGAGAUGCCAAUUCCACUGGGAAAGAUUAGAAGGGAUUUUUAUUUUUGGCCAUUUUCCAAGUCUGAGCACAUUACGUGAUGUUCUCUGGACCGUGGAGAGAAUUAAAAUCAUCAUGCUCACUGAAGCUCCAGGACAGCAGGAAGGUGGGAAGUUGUGAAGCCCGAAUCACAAAAUGCCCCCUCCAGGUUAUCAGGCUCUGUGGCACUUCCUACACAUGAUGUCACUCAUUCCUCCCCGUGUUUCUGUGCUGGCGAGCACCACAAUUAGCAGACCUGUUACAGAGGGUUGGAGAAAUUUGUCUGAAGUCACACAGCCAACAGAUGGUGGAAUCAAGACUCAAACCAGGUCUUCUGACUCUAGUAGCUAUGCUUGAUAAAUAGCUAUAACUUUUAACAAAAGGGACAGUGGGGGACAUGUGAGUAUGGGGGUGUGGGUGUGAUGGGUUGAUGGCCGAAAGCUUUCUGGGACCCUGCUACUCAUGCUAGAUUUUCUGGUCCUGAUUAGCUGCUCCAUGGCUGCCAGGAGCUGUUAUUAUCACUCACUCCUAUGCCCUUGUCACUGGGCCUGUGGGGACCUGCCCUUCCUUCCUGCUCUUGGCCCUGUGAUGUUGACAGCUGUACUGGGAAAUCACAUGCUGGCUGCUGCCACAAUUACCAGACACAGACUGUAAGUGCCUCCCUGGACGUCCUGCCACCCUGUCUCAUGCCGGCCCCUACACAGGUGCUCAGGCCACGGCUUUGCUCCAUCUGUUUUACUUCUGUGUGGUAUGAAAAAGCCCAAAGUUUGUUGAAGAAGGAGAAAUGCGCCGAGAGAAUAAAAACAAUGAUGAUCAGAACAAUAAAAAUCAAUAAGCAACAUUUUCAAUGUGUUUUGCAAUCACCAAACACCAGACUCACUGCCUGGCCUCCAGUGUCUUGGAAGACGAGUUCUGUGACUCACUGUAAACCACACGAUAGGACUCAACUCCCAGACUCUGGCUUCAAACUCUAUCUUCUAAAAAUGCCUUCUAAAGAAAAGAUUUCUGUCUCAUCAGUCAGCUCAUCUGGCAUUUGAAAACCUCAAGCAGAAAUUCCCCAGGUCAGCAUUAUGCAUUCUCCAAGACCAAGCUUCUUCAAACAGAAACCAAAAACAAUGAAAACUAAAUACCAAUGGCUUCUGGCUUCUCUUCAGCGAUAACAAGUCUUCAUUCUUUUUCUCUGUUCCAUGUGAAAAGUUAUACCCCCAAAGGGGAGCUGUGGGCUUUCCAAUGGUGGAGCAGAGAUGGGGGCUUAGGGAACGAAACCUUCAGAAAUAACCUUCUCCUUCCUCCCUCUACCCACAUUGAGAACAUAUUCAUUUCACUGAAUUUAAAGUCAAUGAGACCAUAAAGGACCAGUUCUGUAUUUUGUUUUCUUAUGCUGCUGCUUCUAGAGCAAAACUAAAUAAGUGACACAUCAACUCUUUAAGGAUCUUGUUUCCAACGAGAGAACCGAGGAUACACGUUCUGAGGACAUUGGUUUAUUCAAGAUGAUGUGACAACUUUAGAAAAAAAAAAUCCCCUUAAUAAAAGAGGUUUAUAGGCCAAAUGGACUUCCCUUUCUGGUCUAAAUGUCAUGUUUGUGAAAGUGGUGUGGUAUAAAUAGCAAAGUGGGGAAACGAGAAAUUAUCCCUCCGCUGAAUAAAUCAGACUCUUAGCUGACCCUCCCUCACAAGGCUGGUGCUUUCUAAGCUCUCAGGUUUCCACUCAAACAUCACCUCUCAGGAGUCACCUUCUAAAAUCGCUCCUCCACUACUUUUUAUCCCCUUACCCUCCUCUUUAUUUGAGUAAUAGUAUUAUCACUAGCUGGCAUUUUAUUUUUGUUUACUUGUUUAUUAUCUGUUUCCUUCUACUAGAAGAUAAGCUCUUUAUGUGAAUGUGUCUCUGUUAUUGCUGUUUUCCUGGAAACCGGCUUCCUAAAUUCAACUCCCUAAAUAAACAUUUAGGACGCCACUUAUAAAUAAAACAAUUCUGUUUUCUCUACACAUGCUGGAGAAACUGUAGGAUCUGGAGAUACCAUUAAAGAUAAACAGGAGACCAAAGUUAGUUCAUUGAGAAGGAUUUUCCACUUCAGACACUACAAAGAGGGGUCUCCUCACUCAGAAUUUUUCUGUUUUCUCAGCAUCGCAAGCAAAACACAGUAUUUGGGUAAGAAAAAAAAAAAAGUCCAAUAAGUCUAUGCCUUAUCUCAGACAUCAAAGAAAAGAAAGUGAAACAGAGAAACACUGGUUCCAGAUUUGCUGGAAAGAGUCUUAAAAAGGUGCCUGAAACCCACUCUGCAGGUUCCUUUUAAUGGUUCAAUUUGGUUUUUAAAGCUUUUUCUCUUCAGUGCUGAGGAAGAUUCAUUUAUUCAUUCAACCAACAGCUCUGAAAGUCUAAGGGAAUGCCCCCCAACCUUCUAUCAUUUUCUAGUUAAUUACACUGUGUCGAUUUCCUAGCAGGUACUUACCUCUUUGUAAAGUUAUAUAUAUUCUUUUCUUAUUAAGGCUACAUCUGUGGCCUAUAGAAAUUGCAAG